UACUGACUGACCUAGCAGACUCGCCAAGACAGUAACACUACGGAGGUAAAAAUG
rnacentral:ncRNA from 1 species